GAACACGGACAGGUACACGCAGGCCUGCAGUUUCUGUGGUAGUUUCGGAUGUGCGAGCAGCGGCGGCUUCGUCCCGGCUUUCAUCAUUUCCCGCGUGUUUCGCUGCUGGCAGAUCAAACCUUGCAGCCUUGUGCAUUCUCCGGGUCCUGUCAAAGGAUUGCACGGUACUCUCAAGGCCGGGAGGCGUUAUAGAGAGGACUGCUUGUGUGAAUUAACACAGAAUAUCCCACCAAUUCCAGCCGGGAUAUUCUGUGUUCCGAUUUCACAAAUCCUGUCGAGCGCCGAGCGAACGCUUACUCGAAGAGGCCGCUAUUGGCGUCUCGCACGCACCUUUCCCCGCAUUUUUCGGCAAGAGGUGACGGACGCCCCCAAUUCUGAGCAAAAUCUCACAAGUUGCAUUGACUGAAGAUGUCUGACACCGGGAGUUCUUCAUAUUUCUUUCGAUUAUUUCCUCCCAUUUCUCCUCCUUCUUCUACGUCCCUUGUCGCACAUGUUCCUUAUUCGGCGAAGGGAUUCGCACGUCGGGGACAACAUAUGUGUAACAUAUUCCAGGCUGCGCAAACAUCAAGGAAGAGAGGUGUCUAGGAAAGAGAGCAUGCGAACAGUAAAUUAAAACGUCGAAAAAGAGGAACGAAGAUUUCUUGAUGAA